UACGUAGGUGGCAAGCGUUGUCCGGAUUUACUGGGCGUAAAGAGCGCGCAGGCGGUCGUUCAAGUCGCGUGUGAAAGCCCCCGGCUCAACUGGGGAGGGUCACUCGAUACUGAUCGACUUGAAGGCAGGAGAGGGAAGCGGAAUUCCCGGUGUAGUGGUGAAAUGCGUAGAUAUCGGGAGGAACACCAGUGGCGAAGGCGGCUUCCUGGCCUGUUCUUGACGCUGAGGCGCGAAAGCUAGGGGGAGCAAACGGG
rnacentral:rRNA from 1 species